UUUGUAUUACAUGCGGAAAUUGUUACCAUUUUUGAGCCGAAAAUCUCGCCGAAAAUGGUAACAAUUUCUGCACGUAAUACAAA